CGGGUGAGUAACACGUGGAUAACCUACCUAUAAGACUGGGAUAACUUCGGGAAACCGGAGCUAAUACCGGAUAACAUUUGGAACCGCAUGGUUCUAAAGUGAAAGAUGGUUUUGCUAUCACUUAUAGAUGGAUCCGCGCUGCAUUAGCUAGUUGGUAAGGUAACGGCUUACCAAGGCAACGAUGCAUAGCCGACCUGAGAGGGUGAUCGGCCACACUGGAACUGAGACACGGUCCAG
rnacentral:rRNA from 1 species